UUACACGUUGGCAUCUCCCCAUCCACAGACACCAGAAGAUCUAUUCAAAGUUUCCCAUACUCACCCCCAGCGCCACCCUGCAUUCUUCCCAUUACAAUGAAACCUGAGAUUCUGAGGUUUCUCCAAAAUGAGCUAGCUCCAAACACAACGCACAUGGAAAGAGGAAAGAUUUACUUUACCACCAACUCUCCAUGCCAGCGGUCAGUGGUUUCAGCCUGUGCUCUCCAGAAUUCUUUCUUGGAACUGGGCUGAAAGUUCUAUUUGGUCAUGAAAGCUGGUCUGGGGCCCCUGCAACACUCAACUCGUGGUGGCUGCACAUCCUCCAGGAUGGGGCUGGGCCUGGCCACCACUGUUGCCUGAUAUUCCCGGAUACCUGACAUGGAAGGAUGGCCGGAAAAGCUUCCCCCAGGGCCUGGAUUCCUACUGUCUUCCCCAAACCUACUCAGAGCUGCUCUCAGGAGAGAACAGUUGGACCUGGAAGCUUCAUGACAGUCAAAUGAAACAACAGAUGUGAAGGGCUGCAGAGCAUGAUGGAAAACCACGCAAAUACAACGCAGUUUUCAUUCUUUAAAAGUAUUAGGACUAAUGCGCUGUACCAUGAAUAUGGAACAUUCUCCAAGGAAUUAAAAGUCUGUGCAACUGGUUCAUUCAAUAAAAAGUAUCUUCUAUGAA